rnacentral:rRNA from 1 species
AAGUCGAACGGUGAAGCCCAGCUUGCUGGGUGGAUCAGUGGCGAACGGGUGAGUAACACGUGAGCAAUCUGCCCCUGACUCUGGGAUAAGCGCUGGAAACGGCGUCUAAUACUGGAUACGAACAGCGACCGCAUGGUCAGUUGUUGGAAAGAAUUUCGGUCAGGGAUGAGCUCGCGGCCUAUCAGCUUGUUGGUGAGGUAAUGGCUCACCAAGGCGUCGACGGGUAGCCGGCCUGGGAGGGUGACCGGCCACACUGGGACUGAGACACGGCCCAGACUCCUACGGGAGGCAGCAGUGGGGAAUAUUGCACAAUGGGCGCAAGCCUGAUGCAGCAACGCCGCGUGAGGGACGACGGCCUUCGGGUUGUAAACCUCUUUUAGCAGGGAAGAAGCGAAAGUGACGGUACCUGCAGAAAAAGCGCCGGCUAACUACGUGCCAGCAGCCGCGGUAAUACGUAGGGCGCAAGCGUUAUCCGGAAUUAUUGGGCGUAAAGAGCUCGUAGGCGGUUUGUCGCGUCUGCUGUGAAAUCCCGAGGCUCAACCUCGGGUCUGCAGUGGGUACGGGCAGACUAGAGUGCGGUAGGGGAGAUUGGAAUUCCUGGUGUAGCGGUGGAAUGCGCAGAUAUCAGGAGGAACACCGAUGGCGAAGGCAGAUCUCUGGGCCGUAACUGACGCUGAGGAGCGAAAGGGUGGGGAGCAAACAGGCUUAGAUACCCUGGUAGUCCACCCCGUAAACGUUGGGAACUAGUUGUGGGGUCCAUUCCACGGAUUC